CUAUACAUGCAGUCGAGCGGACAGAAGGGAGCUUGCUCCCGGAUGUUAGCGGCGGACGGGUGAGUAACACGUGGGUAACCUGCCUGUAAGACUGGGAUAACUCCGGGAAACCGGAGCUAAUACCGGAUAGUUCCUUGAACCGCAUGGUUCAAGGAUGAAAGACGGUUUCGGCUGUCACUUACAGAUGGACCCGCGGCGCAUUAGCUAGUUGGUGGGGUAAUGGCUCACCAAGGCGACGAUGCGUAGCCGACCUGAGAGGGUGAUCGGCCACACUGGGACUGAGACACGGCCCAGACUCCUACGGGAGGCAGCAGUAGGGAAUCUUCCGCAAUGGACGAAAGUCUGACGGAGCAACGCCGCGUGAGUGAUGAAGGUUUUCGGAUCGUAAAGCUCUGUUGUUAGGGAAGAACAAGUGCGAGAGUAACUGCUCGCACCUUGACGGUACCUAACCAGAAAGCCACGGCUAACUACGUGCCAGCAGCCGCGGUAAUACGUAGGUGGCAAGCGUUGUCCGGAAUUAUUGGGCGUAAAGGGCUCGCAGGCGGUUUCUUAAGUCUGAUGUGAAAGCCCCCGGCUCAACCGGGGAGGGUCAUUGGAAACUGGGAAACUUGAGUGCAGAAGAGGAGAGUGGAAUUCCACGUGUAGCGGUGAAAUGCGUAGAGAUGUGGAGGAACACCAGUGGCGAAGGCGACUCUCUGGUCUGUAACUGACGCUGAGGAGCGAAAGCGUGGGGAGCGAACAGGAUUAGAUACCCUGGUAGUCCACGCCGUAAACGAUGAGUGCUAAGUGUUAGGGGGUUUCCGCCCCUUAGUGCUGCAGCUAACGCAUUAAGCACUCCGCCUGGGGAGUACGGUCGCAAGACUGAAACUCAAAGGAAUUGACGGGGGCCCGCACAAGCGGUGGAGCAUGUGGUUUAAUUCGAAGCAACGCGAAGAACCUUACCAGGUCUUGACAUCCUCUGACAACCCUAGAGAUAGGGCUUUCCCUUCGGGGACAGAGUGACAGGUGGUGCAUGGUUGUCGUCAGCUCGUGUCGUGAGAUGUUGGGUUAAGUCCCGCAACGAGCGCAACCCUUGAUCUUAGUUGCCAGCAUUUAGUUGGGCACUCUAAGGUGACUGCCGGUGACAAACCGGAGGAAGGUGGGGAUGACGUCAAAUCAUCAUGCCCCUUAUGACCUGGGCUACACACGUGCUACAAUGGACAGAACAAAGGGCUGCAAGACCGCAAGGUUUAGCCAAUCCCAUAAAUCUGUUCUCAGUUCGGAUCGCAGUCUGCAACUCGACUGCGUGAAGCUGGAAUCGCUAGUAAUCGC
rnacentral:rRNA from 1 species